CCACGUUUGGAGAGGGGGCGGACUGUCUAUCGAUUUGACCAAAUAUGGUAACCUGAAUUAUUAAUUUAUUUGCCCAAUCAAAUAUACAUUUAUCAUUGACAGCAAUACAUGAACAAACAAUAUAUGGCUGGGAGCCUACUUGCUGAAUUUUUGCUUUAAGCUACAAUCAGUUUAAAGAAAUGUUGACAAAAAUAUUGUAUUAUUGUAUUCCUAUACAUGUAGAUAAAAAUAUCUUUUAAUUUUAAUUUAAUUUAAUGUAUGAACAAAAACCAUGCAUCUAAAGAUAAGCAGCAGUUGGAUGAAAUACCAAAACGACUUGACAACAUUUCAAUCGACGUUACAGAUGAAAGGAAACCAAAGACAGAAAGUGAAGACGAACAACGUAAACUUGCAGGCAAAAAUAAGUCAAUGAAGC